GUACACGCUGUGACUAGCAUAUCAAUAAGCGGAGGAAAAGAAACUAACAAGGAUUCCCCUAGUAACGGCGAGUGAAGCGGGAAGAGCUCAAAUUUGAAAUCUUAAAGGGUUUCCCUUUACGAAUUGUAGUUUAAAGAAGUGUUUUCUGUUGAGGUUUUGGUAAAAGUUCUUUGGAAUAGGACAUCAUAGAGGGUGAGAAUCCCGUAUUUGACCUUUACUUUCAACUUUGUGAUACACUUUCAAAGAGUCGGAUUGUUUGGGAAUGCAGUCCAAAAUGGGUGGUAAAUUUCAUCUAAAGCUAAAUAUUGGCGAGAGACCGAUAGCGAACAAGUACCGUGAGGGAAAGAUGAAAAGAACUUUGAAAAGAGAGUUAAACAGUACGUGAAAUUGUCAAAAGGGAAGCGUUUGACACCAGUGUUGUUUUUCUGAAAAUCAAUUAAAGAACUGUUUAUGCUAAGCUUGUUUAGACUUUAUCAGCUAACUGUUUAGUUUUGAGCUUUUCUUUAAUGCACUUUUCAGUUAACAAGUCAACAUCAAUUUCUUUUGCUGUAAAAAAGCUUGAGGAAGGUGGCUUGAGAUUCGUCUUAAGUGUUUAUAGCCUCUUGCCUAUGCAGUCGGAGAGAUUGAGGUCUGCAGCGUAGAUCCUUCGGGGCUAAAUGCAUUUGUGCUAAGUUAUAGCAUUUUAUAGACAACUUGUUGACUAUGAUUUGUCUUGUAGCUUACUCGCUUAUGUUAUUUUACCUACGCUUAGGAUGUUGAGUCGUAGAGCACGCAG
rnacentral:rRNA from 1 species